GAGAUCUGGAAUCGGAAUCAGAAUGGAUGACUUCUAUUCCAACCGUUUGGUUGGGAAGAGUUUCAUUCCGAUUUUGAUUCCAGGGUGGAAUGGGAAUGGCUCUAUCUAUAUAGAACUCAAUCCCUACUCUCCUCUGUAGAUUCAAAUUUUCAUUCCAAUUCUGAUUCCGAUUUCGAUUCUGAUCAUGAACCAAAUGCUUCAGAGGAGUUAGCCAUUUUGAUUCCGAUUCUAAGCCAUUCCAAUUUCAAUUCCCAUUCCCAUUCCCAUUUUCAUUCCAAUUUUGGUUACAAACCAAACACCUCAGCUU
rnacentral:lncRNA from 1 species